GAUGAACGCUGGCGGCGUGCCUAACACAUGCAAGUCGAGCGAUUCUCUUCGGAGAAGAGCGGCGGACGGGUGAGUAACGCGUGGGUAACCUGCCUCAUACACAUGGAUAACAUACCGAAAGGUAUGCUAAUACAGGAUAAUAUAAGAGAUUCGCAUGGAUUUCUUAUCAAAGCUCCGGCGGUAUGAGAUGGACCCGCGUCUGAUUAGCUAGUUGGUAAGGUAAUGGCUUACCAAGGCGACGAUCAGUAGCCGACCUGAGAGGGUGAUCGGCCACAUUGGAACUGAGACACGGUCCAAACUCCUACGGGAGGCAG
rnacentral:rRNA from 1 species